GGCAUAUCAUGUUGAAACACCAGUUCUCGUACGACUACCGAAGUUAAGCAACGUAGAACCUAGUCAGUAAUUACAUGGGUGACCGCUUGGGAAUAACAGAUGCUGU